rnacentral:rRNA from 1 species
UCGGGAAUAUUGCGCAAUGGAGGAAACUCUGACGCAGUGACGCCGCGUAUAGGAAGAAGGUUUUCGGAUUGUAAACUAUUGUCGUUAGGGAAGAAAAAAGACAGUACCUAAGGAGGAAGCCCCGGCUAACUAUGUGCCAGCAGCCGCGGUAAUACAUAGGGGGCAAGCGUUAUCCGGAAUUAUUGGGUGUAAAGGGUGCGUAGACGGGUGUUUAAGUUGGUUGUGAAAUCCCUCGGCUCAACUGAGGAACUGCAACCAAAACUGGAUAUCUUGAGUGUCGGAGAGGAAAGUGGAAUUCCUAGUGUAGCGGUGAAAUGCGUAGAUAUUAGGAGGAACACCAGUGGCGAAGGCGACUUUCUGGACGAUAACUGACGUUGAGGCACGAAAGUGUGGGGAGCAAACAGG